rnacentral:lncRNA from 1 species
UUCGCAUUGGUUCGUCAUUCUUUUUGUUAUGUAAUUUGGGUGAUUAAUUGCCGUGAAUUUGAGUUAAAUUUGAAUCUUUCUGCCAGUUAUAGGAUAGACGGAAGGAUGCAGAGCAAUUCUUUGGUUCUGUGAAUGAUUUUAGUGCAUUUCUUGUUGAGGUAUCGUUGAUUUGCGGAUUGAGUUGUUUGGUAGAGCUAUCUUUUAUGGGGGUUCUGUGAAUGAUGUUAACUCAUUGUUAUGAUCAUGAUUUUGUAAGAAUUGUCUGAGCCGAAAAGCAUGGAAUUGGAAAUUGACUUUGAUGUGGAAGCAUACGAGUAAAUGGAGCCUCGAACAGAAGAACUUAAGCUGGGAAUUGGUAGCAUCCUUAACAUGUGGUUUGAAUGGAUUUGUGCUCUAUAUAAAAAUAUUGUUGAGUAGUGCUCUAUGUAGAAAUUGGUUGCCCUCAAGUUGACACUUGAUGAGGAUAAAAGAAAUGACAGCCAAACUGGAGUUAUCUGGAUGAUGAGAAGUCUAUGGUUUCAUGAUAUAGCUUUCUGGAUGAUGAGAAGUCUAUGGUUUCAUGAUAUAGCUUUAUCAAGCACCUUUCUUCAUCAUAGCUUGAUCCAGUGUGAGGCAUGUGAAAUUAGUGAUCAGUUGUCUUUUCAUUUAAUUCUUUAAAGGUGCUUGGAAAAAUCUCUCUUUUCUUGACCUUUGUGCAUUGCCUACUAAAUACCGAGAGAGGAUCUCAGAUUUGAGAACGAAUCUCAUUUAUCACUAUGUUGGGUUAUAAUUGUCUGUUCAUGCAACUUAUCAUGAUGAUGCGUCUUGUUGAAUUGCUUUUGGUGUGCUUCUAGGG